rnacentral:lncRNA from 1 species
UGGGCAGGUAACCCAUUACAAUGUGACCAUCUGGGCCGGUAACCCAUUACAAUAUACCAAUUGGGCAGGUAACCCAUUACAAUGUGACCACCUGGGUCGGUAACCCAUUACAAUAUACCAUCCUAUACUGGGCAGGUAACCCAUUACAAUGUGACCAUCUGGGCCGGUAACCCAUUACAAUAUACCAUCACAAAAAAAAAAAUGAAAAGAAAAAAAAAAGAAAAAAAUUGGCUGUCUUCCAAAUGACUUGUUUUCUCUAUAAAAGUCAUAUGUCAAUCUCUGGUUUUCGAAGUUU